GAUGAACGCUGGCGGCGUGCUUAACACAUGCAAGUCGAACGACGCACUUUAUUUGAUUUCCUUCGGGACUGAUUAUUUUGUGACUGAGUGGCGGACGGGUGAGUAACGCGUGGGUAACCUGCCUUGUACAGGGGGAUAACAGUUGGAAACGGCUGCUAAUACCGCAUAAGCGCACAGCAUCGCAUGGUGCAGUGUGAAAAACUCCGGUGGUAUAAGAUGGACCCUCGUUGGAUUAGCUAGUUGGUGCGGUAACGGCCUACCAAGGCGACGAUCCAUAGCCUAGCAGAGAGGGUCGCCGGCGACUCCUGGAGUAGGCCGCAGUCCAGAAUCCUGCGGGAUGCAGCAGUGGGGGAUACUGCAAAAUCGGCUGAAGCCUGAUGCAGCUACGCCUGGUGAGCGAAGAAGUUUUUCGGGAUGUAAAGCUCUAUCAGCAGGGAAGAUAAUGACGGUACCUGACGAAGAAGCACCGGCUAACUACGUG
rnacentral:rRNA from 1 species